rnacentral:other from 1 species
UAUUGGGUCUUGUAGUUGGCAAACUAAGUUUCGCCCUACAAAUUUUAUUAAUGGGAGCGGUCCCUGGUCACGGUGAGCAAGCUCAAACAGGCAACUGGAUUGAGAAGCCUAAAGUGAUUACUAACUGCAGCCACCUGUCGAUUGACGGGCGGAACCAUGAAAAGCCCUCCAAGGCCCACUUU